rnacentral:rRNA from 1 species
UACGGAGGGUGCGAGCGUUGUCCGGAUUUAUUGGGUGUAAAGAGCGUGUAGGCGGUCUGGUAGGUCCGUUGUGAAAACUCGAGGCUCAACCUCGAGACGCCGAUGGAAACCAUCAGACUAGAGUCCGGAAGAGGAGUGUGGAAUUCCCGGUGUAGCGGUGAAAUGCGCAGAUAUCGGGAGGAACACCGGUGGCGAAGGCGGGUCUCUGGGCCGAUACUGACGCUGAGGAGCGAAAGCGUGGGGAGCGAACAGG